GAUGAACGCUGGCGGCGUGGAUAAGGCAUGCAAGUCGAGCGAUUCUUUCUUGAAGAACGCGAGAUUACAUCAAACGGACGGAUAGGAAAAGAGAUAGCGGCGAACGAGUUAGUAACACCUUGGUACGUACCUCAAAGGACGGGUAUACGCCCCGACGAAAGGCGGGGGUAAUCCCCGAUAUUGUCGCAAGAUGAAAGUCGCAAGACGCUUUGAUAUCGGCCUAGGUCCGAUCAGCUAGUUGGUAGGGUAACGGCCUACCAAGGCGAUGACCGGUAGGGGAGCUGAGAGGCUGACCCCCAACGACGAAACUGAGACACGGUUCGUACACCUACGGGUGGCAGCAGUCGAGAAUAUUCCACAAUGGGCGAAAGCCUGAUGGAGCGACGCCGCGUGCAGGAAGAAGGUCCUCGGAUUGUAAACUGCUUUUCUACGGGAAGAACACAAUGACGGUACCGUAGGAAUAAGAAGCUGCAAACUACGUG
rnacentral:rRNA from 1 species